GAGUAAGCCUUAUAUUGUACCUUGAAAACUGCAUACAUGAAAUUUGAUUAAAUGAUAAGCUGCGAUAAGCUUCGGGGAGGAGCAAAUAUCCCGUGAUCCGGAGAUGUCUGAAUGGGGAAACCCACAUGAGCAAACCUCAUGUAUCCUACAGCCAAUACAUAACUGUAGGAAGGGAACCCGGGGAACUGAAACAUCUAAGUACCCGGAGGAAAAGAAAGAAAACUCGAUUCCGUAAGUAGCGGCGAGCGAACGCGGAGGAGCCUAAACCAGAGUGCGUGCAUUCUGGGGUUACGGACUGCAUUUAAGAUUCUUGGAGGCUAACAGAACGGUUUUGGGAAAGCCGGCCACAGAGGGUGAAAGCCCCGUACGUGAAAGCCGAUGAGACUGAGCAGGAUCCAGAGUACCACGAGACACGUGGAACCUUGUGGGAAAUCAGGGGGACCACCCCCUAAGGCUAAAUACUACUUAGUGACCGAUAGCGCAUAGUACUGUGAAGGAAAGGUGAAAAGGACCCCGGGAGGGGAGUGAAAGAGAACCUGAAACCCUGUGUCUACAAGCUGUGGAAGGGUGAUCUAUCCAUGUCCAGGUUGAAGCUGCCGUAAGAGGUAGUGGAGGACCGAACCCACAUCCGUUGAAAAGGGUGGGGAUGAGGUGUGGAUAGGGGAGAAAUUCCAAUCGAACCCGGAGAUAGCUGGUUCUCCUCGAAAUAGCUUUAGGGCUAGCCUCGAUACAGAUUUGCGGAGGUAGAGCACUGAAUUUCCUAGGGGGCGUCAAAGCCUACCGAAGAAUAUCAAACUCCGAAUGCCGCGUAAUCGAUUAUCGGGAGUCAGACUGCACGAGAUAAGUUGGGCGGUCAAAAGGGAAAGAGCCCAGACCUUCAGUUAAGGUCCCCAAGUGCGCGUUAAGUGGAAAAGGAUGUGGGAUUUCGAAGACAACCAGGAUGUUGGCUCAGAAGCAGCCAUCCAUUCAAAGAGUGCGUAAUAGCUCACUGGUCGAGAGGUCCUGCGCCGAAAAUGUCCGGGGCUGAAACGCGCCACCGAAACUAAGGAACCGAAAGGUUGGUAGAGGAGCAUUGCAUGCGGGAAGAAGCAGUACCGAAAGGAGCUGUGGACUGCAUGGAAGAGAGAAUGCCGGAAUGAGUAGCGAGAAUAAGGUGAGAAUCCUUAUGGCCGAAUAUCCAAGGUUUCCAGAGUAAAGCUGAUCUGCUCUGGGUAAGUCGGGGCCUAAGGCGAGGACGAGAGUCGUAGCCGAUGGACAACAGGUGGAGAUUCCUGUACUGCGGUAUGACAGAACUGUGGGGACACGUAAGGAAAGCGGAAGCCGGGAAUGGAAAGCCCGGUGCAAGCGGGGUACCAGUCACUUAGGCAAAUCCGGGUGGCAAUGGGAAGCCGUGAUGCGGAGCGAAAUAAAGUAG
rnacentral:rRNA from 1 species